GUAACUAGAAAUGACAAACCAAUAUAAACAGGCUGUAGACUGCUAACAACUGAAGGUAGAUCACCAUACUAAGGACCGUGAGGACCAAAAGAACACUUUUGGACCACUUGCUG